CUGUGGAUCAGUGGCGAACGGGUGAGUAACACGUGAGCAAUCUGCCCCUGACUCUGGGAUAAGCGCUGGAAACGGCGUCUAAUACCGGAUACGAGCUGCGAAGGCAUCUUCAGCAGCUGGAAAGAAUUUCGGUCAGGGAUGAGCUCGCGGCCUAUCAGCUUGUUGGUGAGGUAACGGCUCACCAAGGCGUCGACGGGUAGCCGGCCUGAGAGGGUGACCGGCCACACUGGGACUGAGACACGGCCCAGACUCCUACGGGAGGCAGCAGUGGGGAAUAUUGCACAAUGGGCGAAAGCCUGAUGCAGCAACGCCGCGUGAGGGACGACGGCCUUCGGGUUGUAAACCUCUUUUAGCAGGAAAGAAGCGAAAGUGACGGUACCUGCAGAAAAAGCGCCGGCUAACUACGUGCCAGCAGCCGCGGUAAUACGUAGGGCGCAAGCGUUAUCCGGAAUUAUUGGGCGUAAAGAGCUCGUAGGCGGUCUGUCGCGUCUGCUGUGAAAACCCGAGGCUCAACCUCGGGCCUGCAGUGGGUACGGGCAGACUAGAGUGCGGUAGGGGAGAUUGGAAUUCCUGGUGUAGCGGUGGAAUGCGCAGAUAUC
rnacentral:rRNA from 1 species